rnacentral:rRNA from 1 species
GAUGAACGCUAGCUACAGGCUUAACACAUGCAAGUCGAGGGGAAACGGCAUCGAAAGCUCGCUUUUGAUGGGCGUCGACCGGCGCACGGGUGAGUAACGCGUAUCCAACCUGCCCAUCACUUGGGAAUAACCUUGCGAAAGUAAGACUAAUGUCCAAUGACAUCCCACGAAGGCAUCCGCAUGGGAUCAAAGAUUUAUCGGUGAUGGAUGGGGAUGCGUCUGAUUAGCUUGUUGGCGGGGUGACGGCCCACCAAGGCAACGAUCAGUAGGGGUUCUGAUAGGAAGGUCCCCCACAUUGGAGCUGAGGCACGGUCCACACUCCUACGGGAGGCAGGAGUAAGGAAUAGUGGUCGAUGGGCGAGAGCCUGAACCAGCCAAGUAGCGUGCAGGAUCACGGCCCUAUGGGUUUUAAACUGCUGUUAAAAGGGGAAAAAGUGGGUCACGUGUGACUUUUUGCAUGUACCUGAUGAAUAAGGACCGGCUAAUUCCGUG